rnacentral:rRNA from 1 species
UACGUAGGGUGCGAGCGUUAAUCGGAAUUACUGGGCGUAAAGCGCGCGCAGGCGGUUUUUUCAAGUCAGUGGUGAAAGCCCGGAGCUCAACUCCGGAACUGCCAUUGAAACUGUGAAACUUGAGGAUGAGAGAGGUGAGUGGAAUUCCCAGUGUAGAGGUGAAAUUCGUAGAUAUUGGGAAGAACACCGGUGGCGAAGGCGGCUCACUGGCUCAUUUCUGACGCUCAGGCGCGACAGCGUGGGGGAUCAAAACAGG